rnacentral:rRNA from 1 species
UACAGAGGGGGCAAGCGUUAUUCGGAAUUAUUGGGCGUAAAGGGCGCGUAGGCGGCUUUGCAAGUGACGGGUGAAAUCCCUCGGCUUAACCGAGGAACUGCCUGUCAGACUGUGAGGCUUGAGACCGGGAGAGGUGAGUGGAAUUCCCAGUGUAGCGGUGAAAUGCGUAGAUAUUGGGAGGAACACCAGUGGCGAAGGUGGCUCACUGGACCGGAACUGACGCUGAGGCGCGAAAGCGUGGGGAGCAAACAGG